UACAGAGGGUGCAAGCGUUGUUCGGAAUCACUGGGCGUAAAGCGCGCGCAGGCGGAUGGUUGCGUCUGGAGUGAAAUUUCGCCGCUCAACGGCGAAGCUGCUUUGGAUACGGGCCAUCUGGGGACCGGUAGAGGCUGGUAGAAUUGCAGGUGUAGCGGUGGAAUGCGUAGAGAUCUGCAAGAAUACCCGUGGCGAAGGCGGCAUCCUGGACCGGUAUUGACGCUGAGGCGCGAAAGCCAGGGGAGCAAACGGG
rnacentral:rRNA from 1 species